UACGGAGGGUGCAAGCGUUGUCCGGAAUCACUGGGCGUAAAGGGCGCGUAGGCGGCUCAUGAAGGCUGUGGUGAAAGUCCGGGGCUCAACCUCGGAUCGGCCGUGGCGACUCGUGGGCUGGAGCACUGUAGAGGCGGGUGGAAUCCCGGGUGUAGCGGUGGAAUGCGUAGAGAUCCGGAAGAACACCAGUGGCGAAGGCGGCCCGCUGGGCAGUGGCUGACGCUGAGGCGCGACAGCGUGGGGAGCAAACAGG
rnacentral:rRNA from 1 species